rnacentral:rRNA from 1 species
GACGAACCUGACGAACGUUAUUCGGAAUCACUGGGCUUAAAGGGUGCGUAGGCUGUGCAGAAAGUUGGGUGUGAAAUCCCUCGGCUUAACCGAGGAACUGCGCCCAAAACUACUGUGCUUGAGUGAGAUAGAGGUGAGCGGAACUUAGGGUGGAGCGGUGAAAUGCGUUGAUAUCCUAAGGAACACCGGUGGCGAAAGCGGCUCACUGGACCUCUUCUGACGCUGAGGCACGAAAGCUAGGGUAGCGAACGGG